rnacentral:rRNA from 1 species
ACGCAGCAACGCCGUGUGAGGGAUGAAGGCUUUCGGGUCGUAAACCUCUGUCGGAAGGGAAGAACGGGCAUUGGUCUAAUAGGCCUUUGUUUUGACGGUACCUUUAGAGGAAGCACCGGCUAACUCCGUGCCAGCAGCCGCGGUAAUACGGAGGGUGCAAGCGUUAUUCGGAAUUACUGGCGUAAAGCGCACGUAGGCGGCCUUGUAAGUCAGGGGUGAAAUCCCACGGCUCAACCGUGGAACUGCCUUUGAAACUGCAGGGCUUGAAUCCUGGAGAGGGUGGCGGAAUUCCUGGUGUAGGAGUGAAAUCCUUAGAUAUCAGGAGGAACACCGGUGGCGAAGGCGGCCACCUGGACAGGUAUUGACGCUGAGGUGCGAAAGUGUGGGGAGCAAACAGGAUUAGAUACCCUGGUAGUCCACACCGUAAACGAUGGAUACUAGGUGUCGGGGAGUUGAUCUUCGGUGCGUACUAACGCGUUAAGUCUCCCGCCUGGGAGCACGGU